rnacentral:rRNA from 1 species
GCAUAACGCGAAGAACCUUACCUACUCUUGACAUCCAGAGAACUUAGCAGAGAUGCUUUGGUGCCUUCGGGAACUCUGAGACAGGUGCUGCAUGGCUGUCGUCAGCUCGUGUUGUGAAAUGUUAGGUUAAGUCCCGCAACGAGCGCAACCCUUAUCCUUUGUUGCCAGCGGUUCGGCCGGGAACUCAAAGGAGACUGCCAGUGAUAAACUGGAGGAAGGUGGGGAUGACGUCAAGUCAUCAUGGCCCUUACGAGUAGGGCUACACACGUGCUACAAUGGCGUAUACAAAGAGAAGCGACCUCGCGAGAGCAAGCGGACCUCAUAAAGUACGUCGUAGUCCGGAUUGGAGUCUGCAACUCGACUCCAUGAAGUCGGAAUCGCUAGUAAUCGUAGAUCAGAAUGCUACGGUGAAUACGUUCCCGGGUCUUGUACACACCG